rnacentral:tRNA from 1 species
GCGAAUGCUGGUGGAACUACAUUGUUAAUAUUGGUGUCGCGGGUUCGAAUCCUGCCGUGGGCU